AGGUUUGUGUGAUUUUGCUAAAAUGCAUCACCAACAGCGAAUGGCUGCCUUAGGGACAGACAAAGAACUAAGCGACUUAUUGGAUUUCAGUGCGAUGCGAAACAGCGAUUUGAAAAUGUUCCCAACAUCAAUGAUGUUCUCUCCUCCUGUUAGUGGUAAAAACGGACCAACCUCUCUAGGAAGUGGACAUUUUGCAGGC